rnacentral:rRNA from 1 species
UACGUAGGGAGCAAGCGUUGUCCGGAAUCAUUGGGCGUAAAGCGCGCGUAGGUGGCUUCGUAAGUCCGUUGUGAAAGUCAAAGGCUCAACCUUUGAAAGCCGAUGGAUACUGCGGAGCUAGAGUACGGAAGAGGCGAGUGGAAUUCCUGGUGUAGCGGUGGAAUGCGCAGAUAUCAGGAGGAACACCGGUGGCGAAGGCGGGUCUCUGGGCAGUAACUGACGCUGAGGAGCGAAAGCGUGGGGAGCGAACAGG